rnacentral:rRNA from 1 species
AUUGAACGCUAGCGGCAUGCCUUACACAUGCAAGUCGAACGGAGUGGCGAACGGGUGAGUAAUGUAUCGGAACGUGCCCAUUAGUGGGGGAUCACUACGCGAAAGCGUAGCUAAUACCGCAUACUAUUGGCGCGGCCUAUACCGGAGUAGCUAGUUGGUGGGGUAACGGCUCACCAAGGCGACGAUCCGUAGCUGGUGUGAGAGGACGACCAGCCACACUGGGACUGAGACACGGCCCAGACUCCUACGGGAGGCAGCAGUGGGGAAUUUUGGACAAUGGGCGAAACCCUGAUCGAGCAAUGCCGCGUGUGUGAUGAAGGCCUUCGGGUUGUAAAGCACUGUUGGCAGGGAAGCGGUACCUGCAGAAUAAGCACCGGCUAACUACGUGCCAGCAGCCGCGGUAAUAC